rnacentral:tRNA from 1 species
UCCCUUGUAGCUCAGUCGGUAGAGAAUCUGCCCGCAGUGCAGGAGACCCAGGUUCAAUCCCUGGGUUGGGAA